rnacentral:rRNA from 1 species
UGCCAGACUCCUACGGGAGGCAGCAGUGAGGAAUAUUGGUCAAUGGCCGCAGGGCUGAACCAGCCAAGUCGCGUGAGGGAUGGCGGUCCUAUGGAUUGUAAACCUCUUUUGUCAGGGAGCAAAGGGCGCCACGUGUGGCGUUUUGCGAGUGCCUGAAGAAAAAGCAUCGGCUAACUCCGUGCCAGCAGCCGCGGUAAUACGGAGGAUCCGAGCGUUAUCCGGAUUUAUUGGGUUUAAAGGAUGCGUAGGCGGCCUUUUAAGUCAGCGGUGAAAGUCUGUGGCUCAACCAUAGAAUUGCCGUUGAAACUGGGGGGCUUGAGUAUGUUUGAGGCAGGCGGAAUGCGUGGUGUAGCGGUGAAAUGCAUAGAUAUCGCGCAGAACUCCGAUUGCGAAGGCAGCGUACCGGCGCCAGACUGACGCUGAGGCACGAAAGCGUGGGGAUCGAACAGGAUUAGAUACCCCGGUA